UGGAGGGAAAACUCACCCACAACUUCCCACAGUUUACCUCGGACCUGUAUACAGUGGGGGUGGUGCUAGCCAGUGGGGGAUACCCUGGGGUGUACAAAAAAGGGUUUCCUAUCUCAGGUAUAGAUGGAGUGGAGAAGUUAGGACCCCGAGUUCUGGUGUUCCAUGCAGGGACGGCCAAACAGGAGCAGGGUAUAGUUACCAGUGGUGGGCGUGUCCUGGUUGUCGUGGCCGUGAACUCUGACCUCCAGUCAGCCUGUACAGAAGCUGAGAAGUGGGCGGGGUUUAUCAAGUUUGAUGGAGUUAUCACAGAUCUGAUAUUGGAUUCAGGGUGUUGGACAGGCAUCAAAAAACCAUGUUCCCCCAUCUCUCAUACCAAGAUUCUGGAGUUAACAUUGAGGCUGGUAACAUUCUGGUUAAGGCCAUUCAGCCAUUGGCUAAAGACACCAUGAGACCUGGAUGUGAUGCUAGUCUGGGUGGAUUUGGUGCUUUGUUUGACGUCAAAGCUGCAGGAUUUACUGAUCCUAUACUGGUGUCUGGUACAGAUGGAGUGGGCACGAAA